AAUAAGUGUAGUUUUGCACUAUUCAUGUCUCACAGUGACCGUUCGUCUUAUUUAUAAUUUUUUUACGAUUAAUUUUUUUAUUGUUAGAUGAUAAAAUAUGAAUAGUACUUUAUGUGUGACUAAUUUAUUUUAAUUUUCUCAUAAAAUUUUCAAAUAAAACGGACGGUCAAACGUCGAACACGGAUUUUCAUAGCUGCACUUAUU
rfam:Oryza meridionalis cultivar OR44 (W2112) chromosome 4, whole genome shotgun sequence.